UAUUUUCGCCUAAAGUUAAUUAUCCCACUGGUAAAUGCGUAAUUGAUCAAAAUUUUAGUUCAUCAAUUAUUUCAUUCUCAUUAUUGGAUCAUUGCAGGUAUGGAAAAAUCUCAAGACAAAAGUUAAGACAAAGUACCAGGAAUUAUGUAUCGCAGAUCGAUCUACAGGAAAUCCCACCGCUGCUCCUGAGCUUACAGAUCAAGAACAGAAAAUUUUGUCUAUAAUUGGUAGCCAGUCAACUGUAGGAGUUGCAGGGGUUCCAGCAUCAGGAUUCGGGCCAUCAGGAUCAGAAAACGAUCCAAAUGCCGUAAAUCAGCAGUCAACAGUAGAACCCGGAUCGUCCAAGGCUCCACCAUUAUUAUACGUUCCAAAAAAUAAACAUUAUUGCAUUCUGAAUCACGUUUCUGUGAUAUUUGCUCAUUCUAACUGUCAACUCAUUGUACUUUUGUUUAAGAACAGAACGAAAAUCAUCAUCAGAAGUUAAUAAGCCUUCAGCUAAAAACAAUACUACCGCGGAAGCUGUUGUCCAAUCGUCAGCGGACAGUGUUGUACUUCUCCAAAGGAUUUCUACAACGUUGGAAACAUGGUUACCUCGUGGCGUGAGGGCUUUGGAAAAGAUUGCUGAUGGGAUGAAUAUUGAUCACAGUGAAGACGAGGCGCCAGUAAACCAAAAUACAGACGCAGAUGAAGAUGUUGGAAAUGAAAGAGACCCUGAUGUACAGGAGGAUGAGGCUGAAUUUGUGGACAAAGAAGAACUGCAUGAAGCAUAGAAAAACAGAUUUCAGCGAAGCUGACAUAUUAUAAUAAAUAUUUAUGAUGCAUUCCGUCUAGGAUUGAGCGUGUACAUGACAAAAAAAACUUUAAUGAAUAAGAAAACAUGAAUUAUUUUCACCGAGUAGAUAAUAGGG